rnacentral:rRNA from 1 species
UACGUAGGCAGCAAGCGUUGUUCGGAGUUACUGGGCGUAAAGGGUGUGUAGGCGGUUGUUUAAGUUUGGUGUGAAAUCUCCCGGCUCAACUGGGAGGGUGCGCCGAAUACUGAAUGACUAGAGUGCGGGAGAGGAAAGUGGAAUUCCUGGUGUAGCGGUGAAAUGCGCAGAUAUCAGGAAGAACACCCGUGGCGAAAGCGGCUCUCUGGAACGGUACUGACGCUGAGACGCGAAAGCGUGGGGAGCGAACAGG